rnacentral:siRNA from 1 species
GGGGUAAUUAGACGUGAAGACGUG